AAGUAUAUACAUGGGGCAAGGGAUACUGUGGUGCUUUAGGCCAUCGGGAUGAGAUUGAGAAGACAACUCCAGAGUUGUUGACUAGUCUCAAGAAUCAAUUGGUUGUUCAGGUCUGUGCAAGGAAGAGGAAAACAUUUGUUCUAGUUAAUUAUGGUUCAGUCUAUGGCUUUGGCUCCAUGGGAUUUGGCAGCCUUGGAUUCUUGGAUAGAAGGGUAUCUGAUUAAGUAUUGAAACCUAGAAUCUUAGAUACCUUGAGAGCUCACCAUGUUUCUCAAAUUAGCACUGGCUUGUACCACACUGUGGUGAUCACUAGCAGGGGACAAAUAUUUGGCUUUGGAGACAAUGAAAGAGCACAACUUGGUCAUGACACAUUAAGAAGCUGCCUUGAGCCCACUCAAAUUUUCAUUAAAGAUACAUCUGAAGAUGUAGAAAGCACCUGAGGCUCCAAAAGCAAUCACCUCUUUUUAUUUGUGGUUCUGGUACACCACAUUGAUCAAUACUGUUAAAGUUUACUGUUCUAUAUUAUAGUACAUUAUAAUUAUAUUGUAGUUAUUAAGAAUAAUAAAUAACAUGCAACAUUGUCACCAUUUU